GACGUAGGAGGCGAGCGUUGUCCGGAAUUACUGGGCGUAAAGGGCGCGUAGGCGGACAGUUUAGUCAGAGGUGAAAGCCCAGGGCUCAACCUUGGAAUUGCCUUUGAUACUGGCUGUCUUGAGUUCGGGAGAGGUGAGUGGAAUGCCGAGUGUAGAGGUGAAAUUCGUAGAUAUUCGGCGGAACACCAGUGGCGAAGGCGACUCACUGGCCCGAUACUGACGCUGAGGCGCGAAAGCGUGGGGAGCAAACAGG
rnacentral:rRNA from 1 species